rnacentral:rRNA from 1 species
ACUACGGUGCUGAAGUAACAAAUGCCCUGCUUCCAGGAAAAGCCUCUAAGCAUCAGGUAACAUUAAAUCGUACCCCAAACCGACACAGGUGGUCAGGUAGAGAAUACCAAGGCGCUUGAGAGAACUCGGGUGAAGGAACUAGGCAAAAUGGUGCCGUAACUUCGGGAGAAGGCACGCUGGUGUGUAGGUGAAGUCCCUGCGGAUGGAGCUGAGACCAGUCGAAGAUACCAGCUGGCUGCAACUGUUUAUUAAAAACACAGCACUGUGCAAACACGAAAGUGGACGUAUACGGUGUGACGCCUGCCCGGUGCCGGAAGGUUAAUUGAUGGGGUUAUCCGUAAGGAGAAGCUCUUGAUCGAAGCCCCGGUAAACGGCGGCCGUAACUAUAACGGUCCUAAGGUAGCGAAAUUCCUUGUCGGGUAAGUUCCGACCUGCACGAAUGGCGUAAUGAUGGCCAGGCUGUCUCCACCCGAGACUCAGUGAAAUUGAACUCGCUGUGAAGAUGCAGUGUACCCGCGGCAAGACGGAAAGACCCCGUGAACCUUUACUAUAGCUUGACACUGAACAUUGAGCCUUGAUGUGUAGGAUAGGUGGGAGGCUUUGAAGCGUGGACGCCAGUCUGCGUGGAGCCAACCUUGAAAUACCACCCUUUAAUGUUUGAUGUUCUAACGUUGGCCCCUUACCGGGGUUGCGGACAGUGUCUGGUGGGUAGUUUGACUGGGGCGGUCUCCUCCCAAAGCGUAACGGAGGAGCACGAAGGUUAGCUAAUCCUGGUCGGACAUCAGGAGGUUAGUGCAAUGGCAUAAGCUAGCUUGACUGCGAGCGUGACGGCGCGAGCAGGUGCGAAAGCAGGUCAUAGUGAUCCGGUGGUUCUGAAUGGAAGGGCCAUCGCUCAACGGAUAAAAGGUACUCCGGGGAUAACAGGCUGAUACCGCCCAAGAGUUCAUAUCGACGGCGGUGUUUGGCACCUCGAUGUCGGCUCAUCACAUCCUGGGGCUGAAGUAGGUCCCAAGGGUAUGGCUGUUCGCCAUUUAAAGUGGUACGCGAGCUGGGUUUAGAACGUCGUGAGACAGUUCGGUCCCUAUCUGCCGUGGGCGCUGGAGAAUUGAGGGGGGCUGCUCCUAGUACGAGAGGACCGGAGUGGACGCAUCACUGGUGUUCGGGUUGUCAUGCCAAUGGCACUGCCCGGUAGCUAAAUGCGGAAGAGAUAAGUGCUGAAAGCAUCUAAGCACGAAACUUGCCCCGAGAUGAGUUCUCCCUGAGACUUUAAGUCUCCUGAAGGAACGUU